ACCAGGGCAAAGCUGGUUAAACAAUAUUAAAACAAAGAAGGCAAAGAACAAAAAUGUUAAUUUAGUCGAAAAGUAAUUUGUCAAGUAUGUGGACAGACACCCCUAUUUUCUCAGUCUAUUUUUUUGAAUGAUUUUCUUUGAAUGGGCAACAGACAUUUAGAGAGUUCCUAUGGCUUGCCAGGCAGUUUUUACAUAUUUUCUUUCUUUUAUUUGCAUAAAUUUAAGGAGUUCAAGUGCAGUUUUGUUCCAUGGACACAUCGUGUCUUGGUGAAGUCUGGGCUUUUAUUGUAACCAUUACCCAAAUAACGUACAUUUUGCCCAUUAAGUGAUUUCUCAUCCUUAAUUUCCCUCUCUCCUCCCACUCUUCUGAGUCUCCAAUGUCUAUUAUUCCACAUCUACCAGUUUUCACUUAUUUUCAUAUUUAAUUAUCGCAAUUAUAUCUAGAGGAAGGCUUAUAAAUAAAUCUAAUAAUUUUUGCAUGGAAAUUACAAGUUUCUCUGGUAAAAACUGACUAGCUAUUCUUUUUAACGUUUUGCAAUUUCGGUAAAAUGGACAUGAUCGAAGCUAUCUUGGAUCCUGUUUGCAGUAUUGGAAUUGUUAUUAAAUAGCUUACUUCAUGUUUUACUGGUAGUAUGAGGUAGAAAUAGAAGCCUAUAUCUUUAUCACUCUUUAUUCAAUAUUAGGGAAAUAUUAUUCCCAAAUAAUUUUGAAUUGUGGAUUAUGAAUUAUCACACUCAUAGAGUUAUGUGAAAAUAGAUUCAGUUGUCAAAUUAAUAUAAAAAAUAUUUUUGUUUGUUUUUGAACUCUCAACCACAGUAGUAUAUUAAGUACUCCUAAAACUUGUACAGUUAAGACAAUUUUCCUUAAACAUGCAUAACCCAGUGUUUCCCAGAUAGAUACUGGAUACUUACUUUUUAUGUAUUUUGGGUUAAAUGAUAAAACCUAAAAUACAUUUAAUGAACUUUUUCUAAAUAAGAAUAUCCAUAUAGGAUUCAAUGUGCAGAUACACAUGCUCUGUCCCUGCAAUACAAUGUGAGACUUUGACUGUGGAGACUAAAACAUAUUG